UGGCUCUCUCGGGAGCAUGUGCACACUUGUCAUCUUUAUAUCUCCACCUGUGCACCUUUUGUAGAUCUGGAUAUCUUUCUGAAUGCCUGGCAUUCAGGUUUGAGAAUUGACUUUUUGUCUUUCCUUACAUUUCCAGGCCUAUGUUUUCUUCAUAUACACCAUUAUGUUAUAGAAUGUAAUGAAAGGCCUUUGUGCCUACAAACUUUAUACAACUUUCAGCAACGGAUCUCUUGGCUCUCGCAUCGAUGAAGAACGCAGCGAAAUGCGAUAAGUAAUGUGAAUUGCAGAAUUCAGUGAAUCAUCGAAUCUUUGAACGCACCUUGCGCUCCUUGGUAUUCCGAGGAGCAUGCCUGUUUGAGUGUCAUUAAUAUAUCAACCUCCUCAGGUUUUUACUUGUCGAGUGUUUGGAUGUGGGGGUUUCUUUUGCUGGUCUCUUUGAGGUCGGCUCCCCUAAAAUGCAUUAGCGGAACAAUUUGUUGACCCGUUCAUUGGUGUGAUAAUAUCUACGCUUUUGACGUGAAACAGGUUCAGCUUCUAACAGUCCAUUGACUUGGACAAUUUUUCAUUAAUGUGACC
rnacentral:rRNA from 1 species